CAGCCGCCGCGGUAAUACCAGCUCUCCGAGUGGUGUGGAUGUUUAUUGGGCCUAAAGCAUCCGUAGCUGGCUAAGUUAGUCCCCUGUUAAAUCCACCGAAUUAAUCGUUGGAUUGCGGGGGAUACUGCUUAGCUAGGGGACGAGAGAGGCAGACGGUAUUUCCGGGGUAGGGGUGAAAUCCUAUAAUCCCGGGAGGACCACCAGUGGCGAAGGCUGUCUGCUAGAACGCGCCCGACGGUGAGGGAUGAAAGCUGGGGGAGCGAACCGGAUUAGAUACCCGGGUAGUCCCAGCUGUAAACGAUGCAGACUAGGUGUUUGGACGGCCACGUGCCGUUCUAGUGCCGCAGGGAAGCUGUUAAGUCUGCCGCCUGGGGAGUACGAUCGCAAGAUUGAAACUUAAAGGAAUUGGCGG
rnacentral:rRNA from 1 species